rfam:Volvox carteri f. nagariensis unplaced genomic scaffold VOLCAscaffold_124, whole genome shotgun sequence.
GGGAGUUUGGUCUAGUGGUAUGAUUCUCGCUUAGGGUGCGAGAGGACGUGGGUUCAAUUCCCGCAACUCCCC